UACGUAGGGUGCAAGCGUUUGUCCGGAAUUAUUGGGCGUAAAGAGCGUGUAGGCGGCCCCGUUAGUCCGCUGUGAAAAUCCGAGGGCUUAACCCUGGACCUGCAGUGGGUACGGGCAGACUGGAGUGCGGUAGGGGAGAUCGGAAUUCCUGGUGUAGCGGUGAAAUGCGCAGAUAUCAGGAGGAACACCGGUGGCGAAGGCGGAUCUCUGGGCCGUAACUGACGCUGAGGAGCGAAAGCAUGGGGAGCGAACAGG
rnacentral:rRNA from 1 species